UUCCAGACUCCUACGGGAGGCAGCAGUGGGGAAUAUUGCACAAUGGGGGGAACCCUGAUGCAGCGACGCCGCGUGGGUGAAGGAGUAUUUCGGUAUGUAAAGCCCUAUCAGCAGGUAAGAACAAUGACGGUACCUGACUAAGAAGCCCCGGCUAACUACGUGCCAGCAGCCGCGGUAAUACGUAGGGGGCAAGCGUUAUCCGGAUUUACUGGGUGUAAAGGGAGCGUAGACGGAUGGAUAAGUCUGAAGUGAAAGUCCGCGGCUCAACUGCGGGACUGCUUUGGAAACUGUGCAUCUUGAGUACGGGAGGGGCAGGCGGAAUUCCUGGUGUAGCGGUGAAAUGCGUAGAUAUCAGGAGGAACACCGGCGGCGAAGGCGGCCUGCUGGACCGAAACUGACGUUGAGGCUCGAAAGCGUGGGGAGCAAACAGGAUUAGAUACCCUAGUAG
rnacentral:rRNA from 1 species